rnacentral:rRNA from 1 species
GACGAACGCUGGCGGCGUGCCUAAUACAUGCCAGUUGAGCGAUGAAGAUUGGUGCUUGCACCAAUUUGAAGAGCAGCGAACGGGUGAGUAACGCGUGGGGAAUCUGCCUUUGAGCGGGGGACAACAUUUGGAAACGAAUGCUAAUACCGCAUAAUAACUUUAAACAUAAGUUUUAAGUUUGAAAGAUGCAAUUGCAUCACUCAAAGAUGAUCCCGCGUUGUAUUGGCUAGUUGGUGAGGUAAAGGCUCACCAAGGCGAUGAUACAUAGCCGACCUGAGAGGGUGAUCGGCCACAUUGGGACUGAGACACGGCCCAAACUCCUACGGGAGGCAGCAGUAGGGAAUCUUCGGCAAUGGACGAAAGUCUGACCGAGCAACGCCGCGUGAGUGAAGAAGGGUUUCGGAUCGUAAAACUCUGUUGGUAGAGAAGAACGUUGGUGAGAGUGGAAAGCUCAUCAAGUGACGGUAACUACCCAGAAAGGGACGGCUAACUACGUG